GUAGCCUUGCGCUUUCGAGGUUCUUCGGCCCACGCCGAAGCUAAGAAGGGAACGCGGUCCAAGCCGCGGCUGCCCCCGCAACUGUGAACGGUGCUGUUCGCUGCCACGCCACUGCCAACUCAAUCCAGAGCCAGCGGGAAGGCGCAGCGAAUACCGGGCCAAGGCCCGAACACCGUCAGCCAGGAGACCUGCCUCGUCACAGAUUCUCAC
rnacentral:ncRNA from 2 species